rnacentral:lncRNA from 1 species
GGGUUCUCCAUCUAUCGAAUGUUCAGCCCUAGGAAUCCCCAUCCGUAGGAUGCUCAGCCCUAGGGUUCUCCAUCCACAGGAUGCUCAGCCUUAGGGAGCUCCAUCUGUAGGAUGCUCGGCCCUAUGGAGCAGCACAUGUCAAUGCAGGGUGUUGGGAUGCUCAGGUUGCUCUGAUGCAAUCCUCUUCUCUUCCCCUGCAGUUUGCUGGCAGUGGGAGAGGCUCACUGGCCUCCGAUGGCCGCACCAACUCUUGGGCAUCUGGAGGGAAAGGGACCAACACCCUGACACACCUGUCCCAGCACAGCGGCUCGCUGCACGACGCUCAGUCCUUCAUGUUGCUGGAGGAGCCACACAGCCCUGGCUAUUCCCAACCUCUCCACUGCCUGCCCCACACCAACUGGCCGAGCACCGUGCUGCCUGUGCAGGAGCUGCGGAGGGGCAGCAGCACCAAGAAGCCUAAAGGCAGAUGUGGUCCAGGCACACAGGAUGUGGAACAGGCACCGUGCAGCCUCAUCCCCCAGCACCCCAUCCUGCCUGCUCUGUACAGUGAGCCAUACUGCACCUACAGCACACCGCAUCGCUCCACGGACCCCCCUGCACAGCUGGAACUGAGCAAUGUAAGGCUUCCUCCUCCCCAAUUCCUUCUGUUUUCCUCACUGUGAUGCUUGUGGGAAUAGCAGCCCUGAAGCGGUGUGGUGGGGGGCCUCCAUGGUGGGCAUCAGCUCUGCCAUUUGCUCUGUUUAGGUCCUGCAGUGUCAGAAGAUUGCCCAGCCCCUGCCUGGCAGGCACUGGAUGGAGGUGCUCGGGGCACAGAGACACCCCCAGCUUCCUGCUGAUGCUCCAUACCUUGCCAACGUGAGUUUGUCAGUGCAGCCCUGGGGCAGGGAGCAGCCCUGCAGUGCUGUAAGCACCUGGGGGCUUGAUUUGUUUCUCUCAGGGUUGGAGCCCGUUGUGUGAGUGCAACCUGGGGACUGGGGAGGGCAUGGGGUGCCCCAGGACUGCAGCACUGUGCUGUCCCCCAUCAGUGCAUCUCCUUCUUUCCAGGUGUCAUCUCUGCCAGAGGAACAUCUGGGCCCCUUGCUGCAGCCACCAGAUGAUGGCAUGGGUGCCUACGAUGUGCCAGAAGGCGGCUGCCUGCACCGUGACUCUGCAGUGUACCACGACUACGCUGAGCUGCAGAGCUUCCAGAGCGAGCUCAGCUAUGACAACCUGUGGGACGCCGAGGGCAGGGAGCCAGACAGCCCAGCACCCUGCUAUGAAGUGUGAGCAGAGGUCUCACCGGGCACAGGAUGACCCCUGGGCUCUGUUCUCCUACCCCAGUGGGUACAGGAAGCAAAGGGACCCGCAGCGAUCCCUGGGAGCAGUGUUAAGGACAUCCCAGAAUGGUUCCCAUUGCGGGGAGGGGGUAAGGGGGGGGACACAUCCUCCUCCCAUCCCUCAGUGUCUGGGGGAACCUGGGGAGAUCAGGGCACAAACAACAGGGGACAGAGUCUGGGUGCUAUCGCUCUGCAGCCUCUUGGCCAGAUCCCUCAGCACAUACGAGGUCAGCAGCAAACCCAAAUGUUUUCUUUUUUUUACCUGAGGCUCCAAAUUCUUAACCUUUGUCCCCUCCAGAGGCUGCAAACCAAACAUAGCGAUGAAAAUCUGUUUCGGUGCACACAAAGCAACCCAGCAGCGUUUUGUACUUGAAUGUCUACGUAUUACAUUGUACUUACCUGUAUUUUCCAGAAGGUAUCCAGCAAAGUUUACAUGCGAGGUUUGAGUGAAUUUGAUGUAUUUAAUGUGUAGAUGUGGCUGAGUAGGAGAUGUAUUUAAUGUUGAAGCUGUGGAUGAGGCUCGGUGCUGCAGUGUGUGUGUUGGGUUGGGUCUUCUGCUGUCGUUGUGUCGUUCCAGGUUUACCUUCUUGUUGGGAAGCUGUGUACUAAUAACCGAAAGGAUCUAUUUAUUCAGAAUGGAAUGGUACUGUGAGCCCUACAAUUACAGCACACCUUCCUCUGCCAGGCGUUGUUCUCUCUUUGCCAUCCCUGUGCCU